rnacentral:rRNA from 1 species
GAUGAACGCUAGCGGCAGGCUUAAUACAUGCAAGUCGAGGGGCAGCACGUCCCGCAGCAAUGCGGGAUGGUGGCGACCGGCAAACGGGUGCGGAACACGUACGCAACCUUCCUUUAAGUGGAGAAUAGCCCGGGGAAACCCGGAUUAAUACUCCGUAACAUUAUAAAGUGGCAUCACUUUAUAAUUAUAGAUUCAUCGCUUAAAGAUGGGCGUGCGCCUGAUUAGGUAGNGGCGGAGUAAUAGCCCACCAAGCCUGCGAUCAGUAACUGGUGUGAGAGCACGACAGUCACACGGGCACUGAGACAC